UACGGAGGGGGCAAGCGUUGUUCGGAAUUACUGGGCGUAAAGGGCUCGUAGGCGGCCAACUAAGUCAGACGUGAAAUCCCUCGGCUUAACCGGGGAACUGCAUCUGAUACUGGAUGGCUUGAGUUCGGGAGAGGGAUGCGGAAUUCCAGGUGUAGCGGUGAAAUGCGUAGAUAUCUGGAGGAACACCGGUGGCGAAGGCGGCAUCCUGGACCGAGAUUGACGCUGAGGCGCGAAAGCCAGGGGAGCAAACGGG
rnacentral:rRNA from 1 species